UGCCACAGCCUAGCGCAGAGCGCAGAGCCUGCGGGUGUUGCUCAGACUCCUUCUUAUCAAAUUCCUGUGACUCGGUCGAGCAGCACUGGGUGGAGCUGAUGAAGCUGUGCAGCAGCUGACUCUGUAUGGCUCCCAUGACUUGUCACCGUGGACUGUACGGCAGCCACAUAGGCUGAGCUGUUAACCCAAGUGCUGCGUGGUUGCACUCAGCUGGAGGUCGUGACCUGGUUCUUCCUUACAGAAUCUGGAACUUAAACUUACAUGCUUCUUCUUGGGUCCUUUUCAGUUCAGGAAAUGGCCAGGUGAUUCAUUUGAGUCCAGAAAACCCUAUGGCUGACCUGGGAGACGUGCCUUCGUUCAACGAUGAGCAACAACUCAAAAAUGAGACAAGGCUUUUCUGAACCCAUUCCCAGAUUGCAGCCUGACUGAUGAGUGACACAUCCAGACUCUUCCCGCCCAUCACCUCUUUCCACCAGGAAGUUCUUGGGCAUAAUUCUAACAAGUGUUCUCCUAAGACUGUUCCAGAAAAGUGUGAAGGUGUGAAGAAGUAGAGGCUUCGAGGGUUAAUUAGGCCACCAGGGAGGAGCCUUCGUGAAUGGGAUUCCUGCCUUCACCAAAGGGACCCAGGGAGUUCCCUCCCUUCUUGUGCAGUGUGAGGACUCAGUGAGAAGAUAGCCGUCCAUGAUCCAGGAAGCAGGUCCUCACCAAUACCUUGGUCUUGGAUCUCCCACCUACAGAACUGGAGAAGACACCAUUUACCAGACACCAGCACCUCAGCCUUGGACUUCCCAGCCUUCAGAACCAUGGGAAAUAAAUUACCAGUCCGUGAUACUCUGGACACCUCUUUUGGAGUCAGUAAGUCUUCUGUGGGGAGUCUUUGUAAUCCGUAAUAUCCUGUUUCUGACCAUGUUUCGACCUCUACCUCUGGCAUCCCUUGAUGAUUCUUCACCAGGCACUGUUUUGGGCAUUGGGCAUUAGUGCCGAGGAAGACAUUCUAGCCUGGGGCUUCCGUACUCCCUUUGGAGACCCUAUGUAAUAUGGAUACCGGGUCAGCUGUUUUAGCCAGAGCAGUAUCCCUCACUGUGGGCCCAGCGUCUUCCUCCAUCUAACACAGAGUUCUGGACGAAGGCAGGCUUGGGGCUGUCUAGGGGGUGCCCCUCGGUUUCUGGCUAGGCUGUGUAUUCAUCUCCAUCCUGCUGCACUCAGGGUUAGAAGCUAUUUAUGAGGCUGUUUAGGAUUUUGUCUGUUUCCUACUAGUCCCAGUGGAGCAUCAGGAAGUAGGGAUGGGAUUAAGAAUUGUGUUACCCUUUCCAACUGCCCUGCCCCACCUCGGGAUCACUUUUUCCCCUUAGCCAUCACUCUCUGGUGUUUAUCGCUCUUUAAAGUUGUUCACGUUACUCUCAUUUCCCUGUUAGGUUCCUGAUAGUGAAGUUUCAGAUAAUCUAGGAGAAUUCCCUCUGCAGGCUUAAUCACUUAACCAGGUAAGAUAACAUGUGGACGGGUUCCAAGAAUUCAACAUGGACCUCUCGGUGGGCCAUUAUGCUAUCUAAAUAAUUUGCCCAAGAUCACAGGACCGGUAAGUGACAAAAUGUACACACACACACACACACACACAC